rnacentral:lncRNA from 1 species
GUUGGUGUAUUGUAUAGUUCUCGAGAUUGGAUUUCACUCAAAAGCCGCCAAAUAACUCCUCCCAGAAUAUUGUGAUGUUCGCCAAGUUUUGGACUCAAUCCGAUAUCGAUUGGUCCUUGAAAUCGGACAAUUCAGGUUCGUACGAAGUUCGUUCUGAAAUGGGGUGGUUAGUGUAUUGUAUAGUUCUAGAGAUUGGAUUUGACUCAAAACCCGCCAAAUAACUCCUCCCAGAAUAUGGUGAUGUUCCCCAAGUUUUGGACUCAAUCCGAUAUCGAUUGGUCCUUGAAAUCGGACAAUUCAGGUUUGUACGAAGUUCGUUCUGAAAUGGGGUGGUUAGUGUAUUGUAUAGUUCUAGAGAUUGGAUUUCACUCAAAACCCACCAAAUUACUCCUCCAACAAUAUUAUGUUGUUCCCCAAGUUUUGGACUCAAUCCGAUAUCGAUUGGUCUUUUAAAUCGAACAAUUCAGGUUCGUACGAAGUUCGUUCUGAAAUGGGGUGGUUGGUGUAUUCUAUAGUUCUAGAGAUUGGAUUUCACUCAAAACCCACCAAAUGACUCCUCCCACAAUAUUAUGAUGUUCCCCUAGUUUUGGACUCAAUUCGAUAUCGAUUGGUCCUUGAAAUCGGACAAUUCAGGUUCGUACGAAGUUCGUUCAUAAAUGGGGUGGUUGGUGUAUUGUAUAGUUCUACAGAUUGGAUUUGACUCAAAACCCACCAAAUGACUCCUCCCACAAUAUUACGAUGUUCCCCAAGUUUUGGACUCAAUCCGAUAUCGAGUGGCCCACGAAAUUUGACAAUUCAGGUUCGUACGAAGUUCGUUCUGAAAUGGGGUGUUUGGUGUAUUGUAUAGUUCAAGAGAUUGGAUUUCACUCAAAACCCACCAAAUGACUCGUCCCACAAUAUUAUGAUGUUCCCCAAGUUUUGGACGCAAUCCGAUAUCGAUUGGUCCUUGAAAUCGGACAAUACAGGUUCGUACGAAGUUCGUUCUUAAAUGGGGUGGUUGGUGUAUUGUAUAGUUCUAGGGAUUGUAUUUCACUCAAAACUUUCCAAAUGACUCCUCCCACAAUAUUAUGAUGUUUCCCAAGUUUUGGACUCAACGCGAUACCAAUUGGUCCUCGAAAUCGGACAAUUCAGGUUCGUAUGAAGUUCGUUC